UAAUUCACUAUAUUGUUCGCCAGAGUACUACAAGCGCUAGCUUAAAACCCAAAGGACUUGGCGGUGUCCCAAACCCACCUAGAGGAGCCUGUUCUGUAACCGAUAAUCCCCGUUAAACCUCACCACUUCUAGCCAUUCCCGUCUAUAUACCGCCGUCGUCAGCUCACCCUGUGAAGGCUUAAAAGUAAGCAAAAAGAACCAACUUCCACACGUCAGGUCGAGGUGUAGCGAAUGAAGUGGAUAGAAAUGGGCUACAUUUUCUAUAAAGAAAACACGAAUGGUAAACUGAAAAAUUACCUAAAGGUGGAUUUAGCAGUAAGAAAAGACUAGAGAGCUUCUCUGAAACCGGCUCUGGGACGCGCACACACCGCCCGUCACUCUCCUCGAAAAAAAUCUACUUAUUUUUAAUUAAAGAAAAAUGCCAAGAGGAGGCAAGUCGUAACAUGGUAAGUGUACUGGAAAGUGCACUUGGAAUC
rnacentral:rRNA from 1 species